GACGUACCACCCAAACGUUAUUCGGAAUCACUGGGCUUACAGAGUCCGUAGGCGGCUCGGAAAGUUGGGCGUGAAAUACCUCAGCUCAACUAAGGAAUUGCGCUCAAAACUACCGAGCUGGAGAGAGACAGAGGUGAGCGGAACUGAUGGUGGAGCGGUGAAAUGCGUUGAUAUCAUCAGGAACACCGGUGGCGGAGGCGGCUCACUGGGUCUUUUCUGACGCUGAGGGACGAAAGCUAGGGUAGCGAACGGG
rnacentral:rRNA from 1 species